rnacentral:rRNA from 1 species
GUCGCAAGACUGAAACUCAAAGGAAUUGACGGGGACCCGCACAAGCAGUGGAGUAUGUGGUUUAAUUCGAAGCAACGCGAAGAACCUUACCAGGUCUUGACAUCCCUCUGACCGGUCUAGAGAUAGACCUUUCCUUCGGGACAGAGGAGACAGGUGGUGCAUGGUUGUCGUCAGCUCGUGUCGUGAGAUGUUGGGUUAAGUCCCGCAACGAGCGCAACCCUUAUGCUUAGUUGCCAGCAGGUCAAGCUGGGCACU